ACACGACUACAUUAGAUACCCCUGUAGUCCUAGCCGUAAACGAUACUCGCUAGGUGUCGGCCACGGUGCGACCGUUGUCGGUGCCGUAGGGAAGCCGUGAAGCGAGCCACCUGGGAAGUACGGCCGCAAGGCUGAGACUUAAAGGAAUUGGCGGGGGAGCACCACAACGGGUGGAGCCUGCGGUUUAAUUGGACUCAACGCCGGGAAGCUCACCGGAUAAGACAGCGGAAUGAUUGCCGGGCUGAAGACCCUGCAUGACCAGCUG
rnacentral:rRNA from 1 species